rnacentral:rRNA from 1 species
AUUGAACGCUGGCGGCAGGCCUAACACAUGCAAGUCGAACGAGUGGCGGACGGGUGAGUAAUGUCUGGGAAACUGCCUGAUGGAGGGGGAUAACUACUGGAAACGGUAGCUAAUACCGCAUACCAUCGGAUGUGCCCAGAUGGGAUUAGCUAGUAGGUGGGGUAAAGGCUCACCUAGGCUACGAUCACUAGCUGGUCUGAGAGGAUGACCAGCCACAAUGGAACUGGGACACGGGACAGAAUCAGACGGCAGGCAGCAGUGGGGAAGAUUGCACACUGGGCGCAAGCCUGAUGCAGCCAGGCCGCGUGUAUGAAGAAGGCAUUCGGGUUGUAAAGUACUUUCAGCGGGGAGGCGUUACCCGCAGAAGAAGCACCGGCUAACUCAGUGCCAGAAGGCGCGGUAAUAG